GAAUAAAGGCAUUUUGCCAGCUAUACCACCCAAGAUAUCAAUCCUUAUUCUAUACCAAGAUGAAAGGUCUUCUGAGAGCUGUAGUCUGUAAUGAAGUCUGCAAAAGAUGUAUCUGAGCAAGAGACCAGGACCCAAUAUAUGGAUUUUUCUACGAGGCAAGAAAUCCUGUAAUCGAGUUGAGAACUGUACAAAGUGAAGCACUGCUAUCUGGUGGCCAAAAGGCACUUCUGAUUUUUUUCUGUCAGAAAAGACAAUAUACUCUCUAAAUCAAACAUCCUUUGGUAGCAAUGUGCUCUAAGAGCUUUCAUGAUGCUGAGAUAUAGUGUCAAAUAUUAUUGCUAAAUCCCCAU